GAGUUUGAUCUUGGCUCAGAUUGAACGCUGGCGGAAUGCUUUACACAUGCAAGUCGAGCGGCAGCGCGGGGCAACCUGGCGGCGAGCGGCGAACGGGUGAGUAACAUAUCGGAACGUGUCCUAUCGUGGGGGAUAGCCCGGCGAAAAGCCGGAUUAAUACCGCAUACGAUCGAGAGAUGAAAGUGGGGACCGCAAGGCCUCACGCGACGGGAGCGGCCGAUAUCUGAUUAGCUAGUUGGUGAGGUAAAGGCUUACCAAGGCGACGAUCAGUAGCUGGUCUGAGAGGAUGAUCAGCCACACUGGGACUGAGACACGGCCCAGACUCCUACGGGAGGCAGCAGUGGGGAAUUUUGGACAAUGGGGGCAACCCUGAUCCAGCCAUUCCGCGUGAGUGAAGAAGGCCUU
rnacentral:rRNA from 1 species